rnacentral:rRNA from 1 species
UACGGAGGGGGUUAGCGUUGUUCGGAAUUAUUGGGCGUAAAGGGCGCGUAGGCGGAUGUUUAAGUCCGGUGUGAAAGAUCAGGGCUCAACCCUGAGAGUGCAUCGGAAACUGGGCAUCUUGAGGACAGGAGAGGAAAGUGGAAUUCCACGUGUAGCGGUGAAAUGCGUAGAUAUGUGGAGGAACACCAGUGGCGAAGGCGACUUUCUGGACUGUAACUGACGCUGAGGCGCGAAAGCGUGGGGAGCAAACAGG